rnacentral:rRNA from 1 species
AUUGAACGCUGGCGGCAGGCCUAACACAUGCAAGUCGAACGGUAACAGGAAGCAGCUUGCUGCUUCGCUGACGAGUGGCGGACGGGUGAGUAAUGUCUGGGAAACUGCCUGAUGGAGGGGGAUAACUACUGGAAACGGUAGCUAAUACCGCAUAACGUCGCAAGACCAAAGAGGGGGACCUUAGGGCCUCUUGCCAUCGGAUGUGCCCAGAUGGGGUUAGCUAGUAGGUGGGGUAACGGCUCACCUAGGCGACGAUCCCUAGCUGGUCUGAGAGGAUGACCAGCCACACUGGAACUGAGACACGGUCCAGACUCCUACGGGAGGCAGCAGUGGGGAAUAUUGCACAAUGGGCGCAAGCCUGAUGCAGCCAUGCCGCGUGUAUGAAGAAGGCCUUCGGGUUGUAAAGUACUUUCAGCGGGGAGGAAGGGAGUAAAGUUAAUACCUUUGCUCAUUGACGUUACCCGCAGAAGAAGCACCGGCUAACUCCGUG